UCCAUUUCCUGGGUGGCCAUGACCUGAG
rnacentral:piRNA from 1 species